UGAGGAAGGAAUGGAUUGUAAGAAGUGGGAAGUGUUUGGGAAGUGAGAGAAAGAUGGAGGAAGAUUAAAAAUCACAGAUAAAUGUGCAGGAGGAGAAAAAGAAGAGCAAUUGAUGCUUCAUCCAAAGAAAGAGGAGGGACAGAAGGUAUAGAGGAGGGAAUUAUAUGAUUGGCACUGUUUCAAUCACUGUGAUAAGGCUAGCUUGGAAAUUGUUGCUGUUAAUGUUGCUGGAUAUUGUUCAAAAGAAAUUAACUUAUUUGUCAUUGCGCAAGUAGUCACAAGAGGUGGGGACAAAUGAAGAGAAAAUUAAAUAUAUCACCACAUGUCUGCAAGACUUAUAGAGGAGGCGGAUGUAAUUGAGGUAAUACAUACUGAAGGCGUAUGCUGAUGCAGAUGUAUAUAAAUAUCAGCUACGUUGAAACUUUCAUUAAAGGCUCCCACAUAAUAUAGGAGAAAAAAGGAAAGUUGCUGCAAUAUUGCAACAGAAAAGUAACAAUUAUUGCAGUUUGAUCUUAGAAUCUCUCCACCAUCAAUCAUUCUUAUCAGAAUACAACAUGAAGCAGUAUUUCAGCAGCCAGUUAAUAAUUUUCGUCUUCUGUUGUAUUGGAGUGAUACUGUCUGGAGAAAUUUGGGAAGGGAAUCAUGAAAAUUCUGACAAGAACUUACUAUCAUUGAUCACCAGAGCAGCAGUAGCAUCACGAGACAAUGCACUUAUGGCACCACCAAGUGGAUAUCAAGGUCGAAUGCCAGCAUACUAUAUACGAACCCAGAGAGGACUCAAAAGAGAACCAAAUUGGAUAUGGAUGCCAUCCCAUGGUUAUGUUCCUGUCCCAGAGACUUCCAAUGCUAGAAGUUCUGAUAAUCGUGGAAGUACAAUUCUGAGAUAUGGUUAAAUAUGAAAUCAUCUUCGAAUAACACGAACCUUUAAGUAACUGCCAACAAUGGAUAACUCUGUAUUUCUCUUGUUUCUUACAAUGACACAUACUUUUUGGAUUUAACACAGAAAUAAAUUUACAAUAUCUUUAAA